AUUGAACGCUGGCGGCAUGCCUUACACAUGCAAGUCGAACGGCAGCACGGGGCAACCUGGUGGCGAGUGGCGAACGGGUGAGUAAUGCAUCGGAACGUACCUUUCAGUGGGGGAUAACGUAGCGAAAGUUACGCUAAUACCGCAUAUUCUGUGAGCAGGAAAGCAGGGGAUCGCAAGACCUUGCGCUGAUUGAGCGGCCGAUGUCAGAUUAGCUAGUUGGUGAGGUAAAGGCUCACCAAGGCGACGAUCUGUAGCGGGUCUGAGAGGAUGAUCCGCCACACUGGAACUGAGACACGGUCCAGACUCCUACGGGAGGCAGCAGUGGGGAAUUUUGGACAAUGGGCGCAAGCCUGAUCCAGCCAUGCCGCGUGAGUGAAGAAGGCCUUCGGGUUGUAAAGCUCUUUCGGCCGGGAAGAAAUCGCACGGGCUAAUACCUUGUGUGGAUGACGGUACCGGAAUAAGAAGCACCGGCUAACUACGUGCCAGCAGCCGCCGUAAGAC
rnacentral:rRNA from 1 species